CACCGGGAUUGGGGAUAAUGUUGGGGA
rnacentral:sRNA from 1 species